UUUCCGUAGGUGAACCUGCGGAAGGAUCAUUAUCGAGUUAGGGUCCUCUGGGCCCGACCUCCAACCCCGUGUCUAUUUGACCAUGUUGCUUUGGCGGAUCCGUCUCACGACCGCCGGAAGUGUCGCAGGCCACUGCCACCUUCUGGCCCGUGUCCGCCAGUAGCCCCUUCUAAAACCUUUGAUCAAAUUAUGAUGUCUGAGAAAAAAGUUAAUAAAGUAAAACUUUCAACAACGGAUCUCUUGGUUCUG
rnacentral:misc_RNA from 1 species